AACCUAGACAUAUUUUUACAUAUAUGUCCGCCCGGGUACUACGAGCUACAGCUUAAAACCCAAAGGACUUGGCGGUGUCUCAGACCCACCUAGAGGAGCCUGUUCUAGAACCGAUAACCCCCGUUAAACCUCACCCCUUCUUGUUUUUUCCGCCUAUAUACCGCCGUCGUCAGCUUACCCUGUGAAGGACUAAUAGUAAGCAAAAUGGGCCCACCCAAAAACGUCAGGUCGAGGUGUAGCGCACGAAGGGGGAAGAAAUGGGCUACAUUUUCUAAAAAACAGAAUACUACGGAUGAGCACUCUGAAAUAUAGUGCCUGAAGGUGGAUUUAGUAGUAAAAAGCAAAUAGAGAGUCCUUUUGAAUUAGGCUCUGAGACGCGCACACACCGCCCGUCACUCUCCCCUUAUACUAAUAUGAUUAUCAUUCCUAAUACCCUACUCAACAAUAAGGGGAGGCAAGUCGUAACAUGGUAAGUGUACCGGAAGGUGUACUUGGAAUAAC
rnacentral:rRNA from 1 species